AGUUCGCUUUCAGUUUACCUUUGAAAAAUUAGAGUGCUCAAAGCAGCUGUUACGCCUGAAUAUUCGUGCAUGGAAUAAUAGAAUAGGAUGUCGAUCCUAUUUUGUUGGUUUUCGGACUCGACAUAAUGAUUAAUAGGGACAGUCGGGGGCAUUUGUAUUCAAACGACAGAGGUGAAAUUCUUGGACCGUUUGAAGACAAACUACUGCGAAAGCAUUUGCCAAGAAUGUUUUCAUUAAUCAAGAACGAAAGUUAGAGGUUCGAAGGCGAUUAGAUACCGCCCUAGUUCUAACCAUAAACGAUGCCAGCUAGCGAUCUGCCGGCGUUUAAACUUAAGACUCGGCAGGAAGCUUCCGGGAAACCAAAGCAUUUGGGUUCCAGGGGAAGUAUGGUUGCAAAGCUGAAACUUAAAGGAAUUGACGGAAGGGCACCACCAGGAGU
rnacentral:rRNA from 1 species